AUCUAUCUGACAUGUCUCAAAUAGGACGAAACAUGUGUCCUGGAU
rnacentral:hammerhead_ribozyme from 1 species